rnacentral:rRNA from 1 species
GCCCUGGUAGUCCACACCGUAAACGAUGUCUACUUGGAGGUUGGUGUCUUGAACACUGGCUUUCGGAGCUAACGCGUUAAGUAGACCGCCUGGGGAGUACGGUCGCAAGAUUAAAACUCAAAUGAAUUGACGGGGGCCCGCACAAGCGGUGGAGCAUGUGGUUUAAUUCGAUGCAACGCGAAGAACCUUACCUACUCUUGACAUCCACGGGAUCCUGCAGAGAUGCGGGAGUGCCUUCGGGAACCGUGAGACAGGUGCUGCAUGGCUGUCGUCAGCUCGUGUUGUGAAAUGUUGGGUUAAGUCCCGCAACGAGCGCAACCCUUAUCCUUGUUUGCCAGCACUUCGGGUGGGAACUCCAGGGAGACUGCCGGUGAUAAACCGGAGGAAGGUGGGGACGACGUCAAGCCAUCAUGGCCCUUACGAGUAGGGCUACACGCGUGCUACAAUGGCAUAUACAGAGGGCAGCAAGACCGCGAGGUGGAGCGAAUCCCAGAAAGUAUGUCGUAGUCCGGAUUGGAGUCUGCAACUCGACUCCAUGAAGUCGGAAUCGCUAGUAAUCGUGGAUCAGAAUGCCACGGUGAAUACGUUCCCGGGCCUUGUACACACCGCCCGUCACACCAUGGGAGUGGGCUGCACCAGAAGUAGAUAGCUUAACCUACGGGAG